rnacentral:lncRNA from 1 species
AGGGUAGAGAUGCUGGAAAAUUUGAAAUCAGCACAGCAGAAAGAAAGAAAAAAAGAAACCGAAAGAGAAGGAAGAUAUGAAAGAUAUGAAAAGAAGAAACAGAAAGCAAUAAAAUCUUGGCCAGCAUCCAGACCUAUGCUCAAGGGGCUAACACCGCAAGCUGCCAUUCCUCAUCACAGCAGUGGGAAGAGUGACAUGAUGUGACUUGGUUCUCAGUCCAGCCCCUCUGCAGUAAGCAUUCU